rnacentral:rRNA from 1 species
CACGUAGGCACCAAGCGUUGUCCGGAUUUAUUGGGCGUAAGGGGCUCGUAGGCGGUUCGGUAAGUCGGGUGUGAAAACUCUGGGCUCAACCCAGAGCCGCCACCCGAUACUGCUGUGACUCGAGUGCGGUAGGGGAGCGGGGAAUUCCUGGUGUAGCGGUGAAAUGCGCAGAUAUCAGGAGGAACACCAGUGGCGAAGGCGCCGCUCUGGGCCGUGACUGACGCUGAAGAGCGAAAGCGUGGGUAGCAAACAGG